GUACAAGUGGUUCGCGGGCGGCAUCUGGGCCUGGGACACCUGGAAGCAGGCCGUCGGCACCGCCCGGUUCGACCCCGGGCUCGCCCA
rnacentral:tRNA from 1 species